rnacentral:rRNA from 1 species
UACAGAGGGUGCGAGCGUUAAUCGGAAUUACUGGGCGUAAAGCGUGCGUAGGUGGUUCUUUAAGUCAGGUGUGAAAUCCCUGGGCUCAACCUAGGAACUGCAUUUGAUACUGAAGAGCUAGAGUGUGGUAGAGGAUAGUGGAAUUCCCGGUGUAGCGGUGAAAUGCGUAGAUAUCGGGAGGAACAUCAGUGGCGAAGGCGGCUAUCUGGACCAACACUGACACUGAGGCACGAAAGCGUGGGUAGCAAACAGG